rnacentral:rRNA from 1 species
AGGUGCCCGUACCGCAAACCGACACAGGUAGGUAGGAAGAAGAUUCUAAGGCCAACGGGAGAAGGGUUGUUAAGGAACUCGGCAAAUUGACCCCGUAACUUCGGGAGAAGGGGUGCUCCAGAGAUGGAGCCGCAGAGAAUCGGCCCAAGCAACUGUUUACCAAAAACACAGGUUUGUGCUAAAUCGAAAGAUGACGUAUACGAGCUGACGCCUGCCCGGUGCUGGAAGGUUAAGAGGAGAUGUGCAAGCAUUGAAUCGAAGCCCCAGUGAACGGCGGCCGUAACUAUAACGGUCCUAAGGUAGCGAAAUUCCUUGUCAGGUAAGUUCUGACCCGCAUGAAAGGCGUAAUGAUUUGGGCACUGUCUCAACAGCCCGCCCGGCGAAAUUGUAGUACCGGUGAAGAUGCCGGUUACCCGCGACAAGACGGAAAGACCCCAUGGAGCUUUACUGUAGCCUAAUAUUGGGUUUCGAUGUUGCAUGCACAGGAUAGAUGGGACACAGGGAAACAAGUGCUUUGGCAUUUGUGGAGUGGCCGUUGGGAUACCAUCCUUGCGAUAUUGGAAUUCUAACCUGCGCCUUUGAAUCAAGGCGGGGGACAUUGUUAGGUGGGCAGUUUGACUGGGGCGGUCGCCUCCUAAAGAGUAACGGAGGCGUUCAAAGGUUCGCUCAGCUUGAACGGAAAUCAAGCAAAAGAGUGCAAACGCAGAAGCGAGCCUAACUGCGAGACUGACGGGUCGAGCAGUAACGAAAGUUGGAGUUAGUGAUCCGGUGGUAUGUGAGUGGAAAUGCCAUCGCUCAACGGAUAAAAGUUACCCUGGGGAUAACAGGCUGAUCUCCCCCAAGAGUCCACAUCGACGGGGAGGUUUGGCACCUCGAUGUCGGCUCAUCGCAUCCUGGGGCUGUAUUCGGUCCCAAGGGUUUGGCUGUUCGCCAAUUAAAGCGGUACGCGAGCUGGGUUCAGAACGUCGUGAGACAGUUCGGUCCCUAUCUGUCGUGGGCGCAGGAUAUUUGAUGGGAGCUGUCCCUAGUACGAGAGGACCGGGACGGACGUACCUCUGGCGCACCAGUUGUUCCGCCAGGAGCAUAGCUGGGCAACUACGUACGGAUCGGAUAAACGCUGAAAGCAUCUAAGCGUGAAGCCGACCCAAAGAUAAGAUAUCCCACUGAUU